rnacentral:rRNA from 1 species
AGUGAACGCUGGCGGUAGGCCUAACACAUGCAAGUCGAACGGCAGCACAGUAAGAGCUUGCUCUUACGGGUGGCGAGUGGCGGACGGGUGAGGAAUACAUCGGAAUCUACUUUUUCGUGGGGGAUAACGUAGGGAAACUUACGCUAAUACCGCAUACGACCUACGGGUGAAAGCAGGGGAUCUUCGGACCUUGCGCGAUUGAAUGAGCCGAUGUCGGAUUAGCUAGUUGGCGGGGUAAAGGCCCACCAAGGCGACGAUCCGUAGCUGGUCUGAGAGGAUGAUCAGCCACAUGGGAACUGAGACACGGGCCAGACCCCUAGGGGGGGCAGCAGGGGGGAAUAUUGGAAAAGGGGCGCAAGCCUGAACCAGCCAUACCGGGGGGGUGAAGAAGGCCUUCGGGUUGGAAAGCCUUUUUGUUGGGAAAAAAAAGCAGCAGGUUAAACCCCCGGUGUUCUGACGGUACCCAAAAAAUAAGCACCGGCUAAUUUCGU